GAAAUGCGAUAAGUAAUGUGAAUUGCAGAAUUCCGUGAAUCAUCGAAUCUUUGAACGCACAUUGCGCCCCCUGGUAUCCCGGGGGGCAUGCCUGUCCGAGCGUCAUUGCAACCCCUUCAAGCCCGGCUUGUGUUAUGGGCCGCACUCGUCACCGCAACCCCGGCUCCACGGGGAGGUGACGGGCCCGAAAUGCAGUGGCGACGCCGCGACACCGGCGCCCUGGCGAAUGGGAGACCAUCAACCGCCAUGAGGCCCGGCCGGCUUCCGCCGCUAGAAAAUUUUCUUCUUACGGUUGACCUCGGAUCAGGUAGGGAUACCCGCUGAACUUAA
rnacentral:misc_RNA from 1 species